rnacentral:rRNA from 1 species
GACGGAAGGUGCAAGCGUUGCUCGGAAUCACUGGGCGUAAAGGGUGCGUAGGCGGCCGCGCAAGUCUGGCGUGAAAGCCCCGGGCUCAGCCCGGGAAGGGCGCUCGAAACGGCGCGGCUCGAGUGCCGGAGGGGAGAGUGGAAUUCCUGGUGUAGCGGUGAAAUGCGUAGAUAUCAGGAGGAAUACCGGUGGCGAAGGCGGGCCUCUGGGCAGUAACUGACGCUGAGGAGCGAAAGCGUGGGGAGCGAACAGG